rnacentral:rRNA from 1 species
GCAGGCGCGAAACCUCCGCAAUGUGAGAAAUCGCGACGGGGGGGAUCCCCAAGUGCCAUUCUUAACGGGAUGGCUUUUCUUAAGUGUAAAAAGCUUUUGGAAUAAGAGCUGGGCAAGACCGGUGCCAGCCGCCGCGGUAACACCGGCAGCUCUAGUGGUAGCAGUUUUUAUUGGGCCUAAAGCGUUCGUAGCCGGUUUAAUAAGUCUCUGGUGAAAUCCUGUAGCUUAACUGUGGGAAUUGCUGGAGAUACUGUUGAACUUGAGAUCGGGAGAGGUUAGAGGUACUCCCAGGGUAGAGGUGAAAUUCUGUAAUCCUGGGAGGACCGCCUGUUGCGAAGGCGUCUAACUGGAACGGUUCUGACGGUGAGGGACGAAAGUUAGGGGCGCGAACCGGAUUAGAUACCCGGGUAGUCCUAGCCGUAAACGAUGCGGACUUGGUGUUGGGGAUGGCUUUGAGCCGCUCCAGUGCCGAAGGGAAGCUGUUAAUUCCGCCGCCUGGGAAGUACGGUCACGGGACUGAGAACUUA